CAAGUUGAACGGGAUAAGCUUUAGCAAUAGAGCUUUGAGAGUGGCGCACGGGUGCGUAACACGUAUGCAAUCUACCUUUAUCUGUGGCAUAGCCCCUCGAAAGAGGGAUUAAUACCACAUAACAUAGUGAAUAGGCAUCUAUUUACUAUCAAAGCUCCGGCGGAUAAAGAUGAGCAUGCGGCUGAUUAGGUAGUUGGUGAGGUAAUGGCUCACCAAGCCGACGAUCAGUAGGGGGUCUGAGAGGAUGUCCCCCCACACUGGUACUGAGACACGGACCAGACUCCUACGGGAGGCAGCAGUAGGGAAUAUUGGACAAUGGGGGCAACCCUGAUCCAGCCAUGCCGCGUGCAGGAAUAAGGCCCUAUGGGUCGUAAACUGCUUUUGUACGGGAAGAAAUCACAUUACGUGUAAUGUGUUGACGGUACCGUGAGAAUAAGGAUCGGCUAACUUCGUGCCAGCAGCCGCGGUAAUACGAAGGAUCCAAGCGUUGUCCGGAUUUACUGGGUUUAAAGGGUGCGUAGGCGGGUUAUUAAGUCAGUGGUGAAAGCUUGCAGCUUAACUGUAAAAUUGCCAUUGAAACUGAUAAUCUUGAAUAUGGUUGAGGUAGUUGGAAUGUAUCAUGUAGCGGUGAAAUGCUUAGAUAUGAUACAGAACACCGAUUGCGAAGGCAGAUUACUAAACCAUUAUUGACGCUGAGGCACGAAAGCGUGGGGAUCAAACAGGGAUUAGAUACCCUGGUAGUCCACGCCCUAAACGUUGCAUACUCGGACUUAGCGAUACACA
rnacentral:rRNA from 1 species